rnacentral:rRNA from 1 species
CACAGUUCCCUAGUUGGGAACAAGGAGCCGGCAUCAGGCACAGUUUAAUACUUUAGCCCAAGACGCCUUGCUUAGCCACACCCUCAAGGGAACUCAGCAGUGACAAACAUUAAGCCAUAAGUGAAAACUUGACUUAGUUAAGGUUUAAGAGGGCCGGUAAAACUCGUGCCAGCCACCGCGGUUAUACGAGAGGCCCAAGCUGACAGACACCGGCGUAAAGAGUGGUUAGGGAUGACUAACAAAUUAGGGCCGAACGCUUUCAAGGCUGUUAUACGCACCCGAAAGUAAGAAGAACAACAACGAAAGUGGCCUUAUAAGACCUGAACCCACGAAAGCUAAGGCACAAACUGGGAUUAGAUACCCCACUAUGCCUAGCCCUAAACAUCGAUGGCCUAAUACUUGAGCCAUCCGCCAGGGAACUACGAGCAUUAGCUUAAAACCCAAAGGACUUGGCGGUGCUUUAGAUCCACCUAGAGGAGCCUGUUCUAGAACCGAUAACCCCCGUUCAACCUCACCUUUCCUUGUUUAACCCGCCUAUAUACCACCGUCGUCAGCUUAUCCUGUGAAGGACUUUUAAUAAGCAAAAUUGGUAAAACCUAAAACGCCAGGUCGAGGUGUAGCGUACGGAAAGGGAAGCAAUGGGCUACAUUCCCUACAUUAGGUAACUACGAACGAUAAAUUGAAAAAUCUAUCUGAAGGAGGAUUUAGUAGUAAGAAAGGAA